rnacentral:rRNA from 1 species
CUACGGGCGGCAGCAGUUAGGGAACUUUUACAAUGCACGCAAGUGUGAUAAAGCGAGCCAGAGUGUUUUUCAAAUUUUGAGAAACUUUUGUCUGUUGCAAAAAGACAGACGAAUAAGGACUGAGAGAGACCGGUGCCAGCCGCCGCGGUAAUACCGGCGGUCCAAGUCGUAGCCACAAUUAUUGGGUCUAAAACAUCCGUAGCUUGUUCAGUAAGUUUUUUGUGAAAUCCUGUCUCUUAAGGAUAGGGCGUGCAAGAAAUACUGCUAAACUAGAGACUGGAAGAAGUGAGAAGUAUGGUUGAGGUAGUGGUAAAAUACGUUAAUCUUGACCAGACUAACAAAUAGCGAAGGCAUCUCACUAGUACUGAUCUGACAGUAAGGGAUGAAGGCUAGGGUCGCAAAACGGAUUAGAUACCCCCGUAGUC